rnacentral:tRNA from 1 species
UGUGGUACAGCUCAAGUGAUAGAGCAUUUGCUUAGGAAAUACAAGGCCCUGAGUUCAAAUCCCAGUACCACCA